rnacentral:rRNA from 1 species
GACGAACGCUGGCGGCGUGCUUAACACAUGCAAGUCGAACGGAAAGGCCCUGCUUUUGUGGGGUGCUCGAGUGGCGAACGGGUGAGUAACACGUGAGUAACCUGCCCUUGACUUUGGGAUAACUUCAGGAAACUGGGGCUAAUACCGGAUAGGAGUUCCUGCUGCAUGGUGGGGGUUGGAAAGUUUCGGCGGUUGGGGAUGGACUCGCGGCUUAUCAGCUUGUUGGUUGGGUAGUGGCUUACCAAGGCUUUGACGGGUAGCCGGCCUGGGAGGGUGACCGGCCACGUUGGGACUGAGAUACGGCACAGACUCCUACGGGAGGCAGCAGUGGGGAAUAUUGCACAAUGGGCGGAAGCCUGAUGCAGCAACGCCGCGUGCGGGAUGACGGCCUUCGGGUUGUAAACCGCUUUCGCCUGUGACGAAGCGUGAGUGACGGUAAUGGGUAAAGAAGCACCGGCUAACUACGUG